CCCAAAAAAAUUAAACCGUGUCACUUGCAGAUGUUGAACUCAAAUCAUGGGAAUUGAGAGACAUAAGCCUCAACUAACUCAACCAUUCACCUAUCGUGCCAAACAAUGGUAUGUAAUAAUAUAUAAGGGAAAAACGCAAAAUAAAUGGAAAAAAGCAAAAUGAGUAAAAAUGAGAAAUAAAUGGAAAAAAUAAAAAUGAAAUCAAAACCAACACAAACCAAAAUUGUGUGGCCUACCAAUGUUGAACUCGGGUCAUGGGAGUUGGGAGACAUAAUCCUUAACCAACUCAACCAUGAUUCCAAUAUGUCAAAACAUGGCUUCCAACAAUAUAUAAGGGAAAAAACGAAAAAAAAAGGAAGAAAAAAAAAGAAAAACAAAAUGAGAGCAAACGUACAAACCAAC
rnacentral:lncRNA from 1 species